CUUCAUUUAUCCAGCUUGUAGUGAUACUAAAGCACCAAAUGUAGCUUACAACUGGAAGGUAAAGCAAAUAUUGCGAGUAUUGAUGUGUCAUGUAAGAAAUGAAACGCGUUGGACAUUUCGCGCUCAAGACCGAAACUCGCCUUACCUGUGCUGGUUUUCCGGAAGUCAUAAAACAAAGACGACUCCAAAUAUAAAACAUUAACCGUCGUGACUUCUACUAAACUGCAUACUAUGAGUAUUUCAUCACUUCCCUGAGGAUUGUCUGAUAAGUAUAACACGCCAGGUGUUGUUAAACCGUAGGCGACGUGAGCAGCGUGAGUUUCAGACAAACAAGUCGGAUCUGACGCUUUCACAGGAAGUUUGCGCAGAGAGAUCAGAUGUUCGAGUGCUACAUUUGUGCAGCUGUCGCCAGAUGUAUACAUUCCCAUUGAAUUGUAUACUGAGCGCAAACCUACCAUCUGCAUGUGCUGAUGGGAAAGUCUGUGUGGAGACACGACUAGCGAUAAAGGAGACGAAAAAAAACAAUAGCAACAAUGAGUAACUGACUGACCCUUUUGCUGAAUCAAUCCCAUUGGCUCCAGUGUUUGAGCAUGAGUGCCGCAAAUAAGAAUGAACCUGUUUGUCUUUCCUGGGAUCAGUAAACAUCCUCAACACAAACAGCAGUGUGAGAGAAAGAAAGUCACACCACCAGGGCAGCUGCACUCUCACUGUAUGAGUCUUUUGAUGUCUGUAGGGGUGAACUGAUAAUGAAGGCUCCUACGUCUUAAUUCUUUUAAUUGUCUUUGUCGUGGACAGGAAUCAGACUUACUGUAACACAUUUUAUUUUUCCAUUUUCCAAACCACUUAAUCGAGGAUCCACUUGGUAUAUGAUUGUUGAUUAUUUUCUUUUAUUUCAUUUUAUUUAUCUAUCCAUUUCAACCACUUUUUACAAUUGUUAUUUAUUUUCCAUUGCCCAUUGUACAGUCAGCUUGUUCUGGAUAUAUGCCCAUUCCUUCACAUCUUUUAUUUUGAACAUAGCCCAUCAUUUAUCACAGUUGUAUUGUAUUUAUUACAAUUUAUUUGAUUAUUUUUUAUUGUUUUUGUUGUUCAUUUAUCCAUCCAUUUACCAAACCACGUUUUCUGGACAGAUGGUAUAAUGACAGAUUGUUUGUUUAUUUUUUUCUCAUUUAAUUUAAUACAUUCAUUCAUAUCA
rnacentral:lncRNA from 1 species